rnacentral:rRNA from 1 species
CCAACGGAGGAAACUCUGAUGCAGCGCCGCCGCGUGAGUGAAGAAGGCCUUUGGGUUGUAAAGCUCUUUCGUCGGGGAAGAAAAUGACUGUACCUGAAUAAGAAGGUCCGGCUAAUUUCGUCCCAGCAGCCGCGGUAAUACGAAGGGACCUAGCGUAUUUCGGAAUUACUGGGCUUAAAGAGUUCGUAGGUGGUUGAAAAAUUUGGUGGUGAAUUCCCCGAGUUUAACUCUGAAACUCCCAUCAAAACUUUUCUGCUAGAGUAUGAUAGAGGAAAGCAGAAUUUUUAGUGUAGAGGUGAAAUUCGUAGAUAUUCGAAAGAAUACCAAUUGCGAAGGCAGCUUUUUGGAUCAUUACUGCCACUGAGGAACGAAAGCAUGGGUAGCGACGAGGAUUAGAUACCCUCGUAGUCCAUCCCGUAAACGAUGUGUGUUAGACGUUGGACAUUUAUUUCAGUGUCGCAGCGAAAACGAUAACACACCACCUGGGAUUCCCCCCCG